CAGCAAUGCUCAGUGCUGUGAAAACUGACAUGCUGCUCUUCAUAUUCAGAAGUGGGAGAUGAAAUAUGUUUUUAAGAUAAGUGGUGCCAUAGUUCAUACUCCAGUCUUGUUCAUUUCUGCACUUGGGAAUGCCAACUGAUGAUUCAAGAACUCCAGAUUGAAUACUUCAUUUAUUUAACCUUUACAGAGCCUAGGAUUUCAGCUGAUUGUGUUUCAAGAAUCCAAGGCUUACCUCUGGUAGAGAAACCUGGCUCAGACUUCUGAGGAUAUUGCUAAGUUGGAAGAAAAAGCUAUGAUAACAUGUACAGAGUGGAACCGUGUGAGAUAAGAAAGCACUUAAAAUACAACCUAGCACAGGAUUCUGCAGGGUGUAGCCCCACCUAAAAGGAGUAAGUGAAGGAUAGAAGAAAGGCUGGGGUUGGAAGUGGUUGUGGUGUGGAGGGGGAAAUUAGGCUGACUAAUAAUGCAAAGGCUGUUCCUGCUUGAAUACUGAUGAGCCAAGUUAUCUAUGCUGGCCACCUGCCUAACUAUUUAU